CAGCCGCCGCGGGAAUACGAAGGGGGCUAGCGUUGUUCGGAAUUACUGGGCGUAAAGGGCGCGUAGGCGGCCAUUCAAGUUAGAUGUGAAAGCCCUGGGCUCAACCUAGGAAUUGCAUUUGAUACUGUUUGGCUUGAGUUCGGGAGAGGUGAGUGGAAUUCCCAGUGUAGAGGUGAAAUUCGUAGAUAUUGGGAAGAACACCAGUGGCGAAGGCGGCUCACUGGCUCAUUCUAGACGCUGAGGUGCGAAAGCGUGGGGAGCAAACAGGAUUAGAUACCCCUGUAGUCCCUGUCUCUUAUAC
rnacentral:rRNA from 1 species